rnacentral:rRNA from 1 species
GAUGAACGCUGGCGGCGUGCUUAACACAUGCAAGUCGAACGGUGAAGCCAAGCUUGCUUGGUGGUUCAGUGGCGAACGGGUGAGUAACACGUGAGCAACCUGCCCUGGACUCUGGGAUAAGCGCUGGAAACGGCGUCUAAUACUGGAUAUGAGCCUCUUCCGCAUGGUGGGGGUUGGAAAGAUUUUUUGGUCUGGGAUGGGCUCGCGGCCUAUCAGCUUGUUGGUGAGGUAAUGGCUCACCAAGGCGUCGACGGGUAGCCGGCCUGGGAGGGUGACCGGCCACACUGGGACUGAGGCACGGCGCAGACUCCUACGGGAGGCAACAGUGGGAAAUAUUGCACAAUGAGCGAAAGCCUGAUGCAGCAGCGCCGCGUGUGGGAUGACGGCCUUCGGGUUGUAAACCUCUUUUAGCAGGGAAGAAGCGAUAGUGACGGUACCUGCAGAAAAAGCGCCGGCUAACUACGUG